rnacentral:rRNA from 1 species
CAGUCGCCGCGGUAAUACCGAGGGUGCGAGCGUUAAUCGGAUUUACUGGGCGUAAAGCGUGCGUAGGCGGCUUCUUAAGUCGGAUGUGAAAUCCCUGAGCUUAACUUAGGAAUUGCAUUCGAUACUGGGAAGCUAGAGUAUGGGAGAGGAUGGUAGAAUUCCAGGUGUAGCGGUGAAAUGCGUAGAGAUCUGGAGGAAUACCGAUGGCGAAGGCAGCCAUCUGGCCUAAUACUGACGCUGAGGUACGAAAGCAUGGGGAGCAAACAGGAUUAGAUACCCGUGUAGUUCCUGUCUCUUAUAC